CCUACGGGUGGCAGCAGUGAGGAAUAUUGGUCAAUGGGCGGAAGCCUGAACCAGCCAAGUAGCGUGCAGGAUGACGGCCCUACGGGUUGUAAACUGCUUUUAUACGGGAAUAACGCGCCUUACGUGUAGGGCUUUGCAUGUACCGUAUGAAUAAGGACCGGCUAAUUCCGUUCCAGCAGCCGCGGUAAUACGGAAGGUCCGGGCGUUAUCCGGCUUUAUUGGGUUUAAAGGGAGCGUCGGCCGAAUGUGAAACGUGCUGGGAAAUUGACGGGCCCAACCCGGGCCUUGCAGCGCGAACUGGCGUGCUUGAGUCCGCGGAAAGCAGGCGGAAUUCGGCGUGUAGCGGUGAAAUGCUUAGAUAUGACGAAGAACCCCGAUUGCGAAGGCAGCUUGCUGCAGCGGAACUGACGCUGAUGCUCGAAAGCGCGGGUAUCGAACAGGAUUAGAUACCCUGGUAGUC
rnacentral:rRNA from 1 species